rnacentral:rRNA from 1 species
UACGAAGGGGGCUAGCGUUGUUCGGAAUUACUGGGCGUAAAGGGCGCGUAGGCGGUACUUCAAGUCAGGCGUGAAAGCCCCGGGCUCAACCUGGGAACCGCGCUUGAGACUGGAGAACUAGAGUUCGGGAGAGGAUGGUGGAAUUCCCAGUGUAGAGGUGAAAUUCGUAGAUAUUGGGAAGAACACCGGUGGCGAAGGCGGCUCACUGGCCCGUAACUGACGCGUCAUGCACGACAGCGUGGGGAUCAAACAGG